AUUGAACGCUGGCGGCAGGCCUAACACAUGCGAGUCGAGCGAGCGGCGGACGGGUGAGUAAUGUAUGGGGACUGCCCGAUAGCGGGGGAUAACUACUGGAAACGGUAGCUAAUACCGCAUACUAUCGGAUAACCCAUAUGGGUGUAGCUAGUAGGUGAGGUAAUGGCUCACCUAGGCGACGAUCCCUAGCUGGUCUGAGAGGAUGAUCAGCCACACUGGGACGGAGACACGGCCCAGACUCCUACGGAGGCAGCAGUGGGGAAUAUUGCACAAUGGGCGCAAGCAGGAUGCAGCCAUGCCGCGUGUAUGAAGAAGGCCCUGGGGUUGUAAAGUACUUUCAGUCGGGAGGAGUUACCGAAAGAAGAAGCACCGGCUAACUCCGUGCCAGCAGCCGCGGUAAUAC
rnacentral:rRNA from 1 species